GACGGAGGGGGCUAGCGUUGUUCGGAAUUACUGGGCGUAAAGAGUGCGUAGGCGGUUUAGUAAGUUGGAAGUGAAAGCCCGGGGCUUAACCUCGGAAUAGCUUUCAAAACUACUAAUCUAGAGUGUAGUAGGGGAUGAUGGAAUUCCUAGUGUAGAGGUGAAAUUCUUAGAUAUUAGGAGGAACACCGGUGGCGAAGGCGGUCAUCUGGGCUACAACUGACACUGAUGCACGAAAGCGUGGGGAGCAAACAGG
rnacentral:rRNA from 1 species